GACGAACCGAGCGAACGUUGUUCGGAAUAACUGGGCUUAAAGGGCGCGUAGGCGGGCCGCCAAGUUCGAGGUGAAAUCCUCCGGCUCAACCGGAGAACUGCCUCGAAUACUGGAGGCCUCGAGGCGGGUAGGGGCGUGCGGAACUGUGGGUGGAGCGGUGAAAUGCGUUGAUAUCCACAGGAACUCCGGUGGCGAAGGCGGCACGCUGGACCCGAUCUGACGCUGAGGCGCGAAGGCUAGGGGAGCGAACGGG
rnacentral:rRNA from 1 species